rnacentral:lncRNA from 1 species
CACCUCAUUUCAUUAUUUCAUUUCAUUUUUUCAUUUCAUUAUGUCAUUUCAUUUCAUCUCAUUACAUUUCAUCUAAUUUCAUUUCACCUCAUUUCAUCUCAUCAUUUCUUCUCUUUUCAUCUCAUUUCAUCUCAUCAUUUCAUCUCAUAUCUCAAUUCAAUUUCCUUUCAUUAUUUCAUCUCAUUCAUUUCAUCUCAUUUCAUUACAUCUCAUCAUUUCCUCUCAUCAUUACAUCUCAUCUCAUCUCAUCAUUUCAUCAUUUCAUCUCAUCAUUGCAUCUCAUCAUUUCAUCUCAUUUCAUCUCAUCAUUCAUCUCGUCAUUUCAUCUCAUCAUUUCCAUUUCAUUAUUUCAUUUCAUCAUUUAAUUUCAUCAUCUCAUUUAAUUUCACCUCAUUUCGUUAUUUCACAUUUUCAUUUCAUUGUCAUUUCAUUUCAUCUCAUUACAUUUCAUCUCAUUUCAUUUCAUCUCAUUUCAUCUCAUUUCAUCUUUUCAUCUCAUCAUUUCAUCUUAUCAUCUCAUCAACUCUUUUCAUCUUAUCUCAUCAUUUCAUCAUUUCAUCUCAUCAUCUCAUCUCCUAUAUUCUCAUCUCAUUUCAAUUUCAUUCAUUUCAUUAUUUCAUGUCAUCUCAUCAUUUCAUCUCAUCACAUCUCAUCAUUUUAUCAUUUUAUUUCAUCAUCUCAUUUCAUCUCAUCUCAUUUCAAUUUUAUUUAUUUCAAUUUCAUUUCAUUAUUUCAUUUCAUUUCAUCUCAUCAGUUCAUCUCAUCAUUUCAUCAUCUCAUCAUUUCAUAUCAUUUUAUCUCAUCUCAUCAUUUCUUCUCAUUUCAUCUCAUCUCAUUUCAUCAUUACAUUUCAUCUCAUUUUAUGUCAUCAUUUCAUGUCAUCAUUUCAUGUCAUCAUUUCAUCACAUCUCAUCUCAUCAUUUCAUCCCAUCAUUUCAUCUCAUUUCAACUCAUUGCAUCUCAUCUCAUUUCCAUUUCAUUAUUCCAUUUCAUUUCAUUUCAUUAUAUUUCAUCUCAUCAUAUUUCAUCUCAUUUCAUCUCAUCUCAUCAUUUCAUUUCAUCUCAUCAUUUCAUCUCAUUUUAUCUCAUCUCAUUUCAUCUCAUCAUUUCUUCUCAUCUCAUCAUUUCCAUUUCAUUUUCAUUAUUUCAUCAUUUCAUUAUUUCAUUUCAUCUCAUUUCAUUAUUUCAUUUCAUUAUGUCAUUUCAUUUCAUCUCAUUACAUUUCAUCUCAUUUCAUCUCAUUUCAUGCAUCAUUUCAUUUCAUUUCAUCAUUUCAUCUCAUGAUUUCAUCUCAUCUCAUCAUCUCAUUUCAUCUCAUUAUUUCAUCUCACUUCAUCUCAUCUCAUUUCAUCAUUUCAUUUCAUCAUUACAUCUCAUCAUUUCAACUCAUCUCAUUUCAAUUUCAUUUCAAUUUCAUUACAUUUCAUAAUUUCCUUUCAUUAUUUCAUUUCAUUU